GAGCGGCGGAUGGGUGAGUAACACGUGGGGAACCUGCCCCAUAGUCUGGGAUACCACUUGGAAACAGGUGCUAAUACCGGAUAAGAAAGCAGAUCGCAUGAUCAGCUUUUAAAAGGCGGCGUAAGCUGUCGCUAUGGGAUGGCCCCGCGGUGCAUUAGCUAGUUGGUAAGGUAAAGGCUUACCAAGGCAAUGAUGCAUAGCCGAGUUGAGAGACUGAUCGGCCACAUUGGGACUGAGACACGGCCCAAACUCCUACGGGAGGCAGCAGUAGGGAAUCUUCCACAAUGGACGCAAGUCUGAUGGAGCAACGCCGCGUGAGUGAAGAAGGUUUUCGGAUCGUAAAGCUCUGUUGUUGGUGAAGAAGGAUAGAGGUAGUAACUGGCCUUUAUUUGACGGUAAUCAACCAGAAAGUCACGGCUAACUACGUGCCAGCAGCCGCGGUAAUACGUAUGUUCCAAGCGUUAUCCGGAUUUAUUGGGCGUAAAGCGAGCGCAGACGGUUAUUUAAGUCUGAAGUGAAAGCCCUCAGCUCAACUGAGGAAUUGCUUUGGAAACUGGAUGACUUGAGUGCAGUAGAGGAAAGUGGAACUCCAUGUGUAGCGGUGAAAUGCGUAGAUAUAUGGAAGAACACCAGUGGCGAAGGCGGCUUUCUGGACUGUAACUGACGUUGAGGCUCGAAAGUGUGGGUAGCAAACAGGAUUAGAUACCCUGGUAGUCCACACCGUAAACGAUGAGUGCUAGGUGUUUGAGGGUUUCCGCCCUUAAGUGCCGCAGCUAACGCAUUAAGCACUCCGCCUGGGGAGUACGACCGCAAGGUUGAAACUCAAAGGAAUUGACGGGGACCCGCACAAGCGGUGGAGCAUGUGGUUUAAUUCGAAGCAACGCGAAGAACCUUACCAGGUCUUGACAUCCCUUGACAACUCCAGAGAUGGAGCGUUCCCUUCGGGGACAAGGUGACAGGUGGUGCAUGGUUGUCGUCAGCUCGUGUCGUGAGAUGUUGGGUUAAGUCCCGCAACGAGCGCAACCCUUAUUACUAGUUGCCAGCAUUUAGUUGGGCACUCUAGUGAGACUGCCGGUGACAAACCGGAGGAAGGUGGGGAUGACGUCAAAUCAUCAUGCCCCUUAUGACCUGGGCUACACACGUGCUACAAUGGCGUAUACAACGAGUUGCCAACCCGCGAGGGUGAGCUAAUCUCUUAAAGUACGUCUCAGUUCGGAUUGUAGGCUGCAACUCGCCUACAUGAAGUCGGAAUCGCUAGUAAUCGCGGAUCAGCACGCCGCGGUGAAUACGUUCCCGGGUCUUGUACACACCGCCCGUCA
rnacentral:rRNA from 1 species